rnacentral:tRNA from 1 species
GGUCUAUUAGUCUAGUUGGUUAGGACGUCGGAUUCUGAUCCCAAAAUCAGUUCCUUCCGUAAGCCCAGGUUCGAAUCCUGGAUGGACCU